CAAGUUGUCAUCGAUUUUUUUUUCAAUAAAACGUAAACUAAUGUGAUUGGCCAUGGUGGAUAUAUGGACAACAACAACAACAACCAAUCUAAUGCAAUUCCAAUAAUGCCAAUUGUGGCUAAAUAUAUUCAAAUAUAAUUCAACGAAUUUUUUUUCCAGAAUGAAUUUCAAAAACAAUCAUAAAUGAAUUCAUCAACCAAUCACUCAAUGACGAUUGUAUAUACCAUUUAUUCAUCAUAAUCGAUUUCAAAAUGAUAAUUAACUAAAUAAUUGCCUACAUGAACAGGUGAAUUAUUGUUAUCAACUAUAGUAUGUCUAUCGAUUUUUUAUUUAUUUCUUGUUUGUCAUUUACUAUGACAAAUCCGGUUUUUUUUAUUUGAUGAAAAAUUUUCAAUGAUUGAUUUUUCGAACAACAACUUACAAACGACGACGAACAAACAUUGCAUCAAAGGACAAAGAAAGGACAAAUUUCAAUUCAUGUAGCUGUUUUUGAUCGAUCAUACGAAUGAAUGAAUGUUUAUAUGAUGGUAAUAAUAGUGACAGCCUGUUUUGGUGUGCAUACCUUUUCGAUUUUCUGGUGGUUUUUUCUCCAUCUGUCCAUUUGCCUCUAAUUUUAUCCCCAAUGCAUCCAUCCAUUCAUUCAAUCAUACAAAAUGUCUGUCAUCAUCCAAAUGAAUGGCUUUCUGUUUGUCAUCAUCAUCAUUAUCAUCAUCAUCAUCAUCAUCAAAAAGAUGAUUUUGGAAAAAGGAAGAAAGACGAAUGAGAAAAAAAAAUUCAUCGAAAAGAUCCAUAAUUUUGAUGAUAAAUUUAUCUGUCAUUCAUUACAAGAAAUGAAAAUGAUUUCAAGAUAUGAUUGAUCAAUAUUAAUGAUUGGCUUCGAAUUUACAAUUACAACAAAUUCAAUUGAUUAAUUUGAUUUUUGUCAUGAAAAAAAAAAUUGACAGCAAUUUUUUCUCACCUGAAAAUGAAAUGAGCCAAUUCAUUCCAUCCUGAAAAUUUUUAAAAUUUCCCUCAUCCUGAUUGUCAUUGUGGUAUGAUAAAUUUUUUUACACCAUUCAAAAUGAUGAACGAUGAAAGGAAGUGACAUUUUUUUCCAUAAUCAAAUCAAUGGACAAUGACAAAAUGUUCAUUUAGGACUAUUGGAAAAAAAAUUGGAUUGAAACCAAUUGAAUCUAUCACAAUGUGAAUAUAAAUGUCAUCCAAAUGUAUGAUUAUCGGUUGAAUGGCAACCAAUGUGUUUGUUCCAAAAUGGCAUUUAUUUUUACAUCAAACAUUACCUCUUAUUAUUUGACAUUCAAAAAAAAAAACAGAACAGAACGAUUGAUUUUUUCAAAUUCCAACCAUAUGACAAUGGCUAAAAAUUGUUCAAUGAAAAAAGAUUUGGCAAACCCAUUUAUUGUUAACACGAUUUUAUUCAUCAUAUUUAUCCAGAUCUAUAUAUAAAUAUCGUCAUCGAGAAUCGAUUGUCAGGAAGUUUAUACAACAAAAAAUAAAUAUUAUCAAAAGCUAAAUUUGGAAAACAAAACAAAACAAAAAAAAAAAACUAUGAAGGUCAUGUCAUAUAAUGACAUAAUAAUAAAUAUAUACUUCAAUUGUGUAAGCAAAUAUCGUUAGUAAAUAAGAUCAACCAUUGAAAAUUGAUGUCCAUUUGAUGUUUGCGUGUGUGUGUUUUU